AGUGAACGCUGGCGGUAGGCCUAACACAUGCAAGUCGAACGGCAGCACAGUAAGAGCUUGCCCUUACGGGUGGCGAGUGGCGGACGGGUGAGGAAUACAUCGGAAUCUACUUUUUCGUGGGGGAUAACGUAGGGAAACUUACGCUAAUACCGCAUACGACCUACGGGUGAAAGCAGGGGAUCUUCGGACCUUGCGCGAUUGAAUGAGCCGAUGUCGGAUUAGCUAGUUGGCGGGGUAAAGGCCCACCAAGGCGACGAUCCGUAGCUGGUCUGAGAGGAUGAUCAGCCACACUGGAACUGAGACACGGUCCAGACUCCUACGGGAGGCAGCAGUGGGGAAUAUUGGACAAUGGGCGCAAGCCUGAUCCAGCCAUACCGCGUGGGUGAAGAAGGCCUUCGGGUUGUAAAGCCCUUUUGUUGGGAAAGAAAAGCAGCAGGUUAAUACCCCGCUGUUCUGACGGUACCAAAAGAAUAAGCACCGGCUAACUUCGUG
rnacentral:rRNA from 1 species